AUGGAUGCCUCUGUGGAUGAGUCGUCAUCUUCCUCUCAGCCUACUUAUGGCUUGCGUUCUCGUCCUCUUCCGCCUGUUGAUCGCUUUGGAUUUCCCACUGUUGGUGCUGCUGUUCUUGAGCCGACUUCUUACCGUCAGGCUGUUGUUCAUCCUGAAUGGCAGUUUGCGAUGGCAGAGGAGAUUGCUGCUCUUGAACGCACUGGUACUUGGGAUCUUGUUUCUCUUCCUCCCGGAGUCCGUCCCAUCACUUGUAAGUGGGUCUACAAGGUUAAGACUCGCUCCAAUGGUUCUCUUGAGCGUCAUAAAGCUCGUCUUGUGGCUCGUGGUUUUCAGUAG
rnacentral:rRNA from 1 species